GUAGCGGGGGAUAACUAUUGGAAACGAUAGCUAAUACCGCAUAACAAUGGGUGACACAUGUCAUUUAUUUGAAAGGGGCAAUUGCUCCACUACAAGAUGGACCUGCGUUGUAUUAGCUAGUAGGUGAGGUAACGGCUCACCUAGGCGACGAUACAUAGCCGACCUGAGAGGGUGAUCGGCCACACUGGGACUGAGACACGGCCCAGACUCCUACGGGAGGCAGCAGUAGGGAAUCUUCGGCAAUGGGGGCAACCCUGACCGAGCAACGCCGCGUGAGUGAAGAAGGUUUUCGGAUCGUAAAGCUCUGUUGUAAGUCAAGAACGAGUGUGAGAGUGGAAAGUUCACACUGUGACGGUAGCUUACCAGAAAGGGACGGCUAACUACGUGCCAGCAGCCGCGGUAAUACGUAGGUCCCGAGCGUUGUCCGGAUUUAUUGGGCGUAAAGCGAGCGCAGGCGGUUUGAUAAGUCUGAAGUUAAAGGCUGUGGCUCAACCAUAGUUCGCUUUGGAAACUGUCAAACUUGAGUGCAGAAGGGGAGAGUGGAAUUCCAUGUGUAGCGGUGAAAUGCGUAGAUAUAUGGAGGAACAC
rnacentral:rRNA from 1 species